rnacentral:rRNA from 1 species
AGCAUAUCAAUAAGCGGAGGAAAAGAAACUAACCAGGAUUCCCCUAGUAACGGCGAGUGAAGCGGGAACAGCCCAAAUUUUAAAUCGAUCAAAAGGUCGAGUUGUAAUUUGUAGAAUUGCUUUCCACGUCUUUAUCCGAUGAAAAGUCCCUUGGAAUAGGGCAUCACAGAGGGUGAUAAUCCCGUAUUUUAUCGUGAUCUUGACGUCGUGUGUAGUAAUUUCAAAGAGUCGAGUUGUUUGGGAUUGCAGCUCAAAACGGGUGGUAAAUUCCAUCUAAGGCUAAAUAACGGCAAGAGACCGAUAGCGAACAAGUACCGUGAGGGAAAGAUGAAAAGAACUUUGAAAAGAGAGCUAAACAGUACGUGAAAUUGUUGAAAGGGAAACGAUUGAGGCCAGUCAUGCCUGCGAGAAAUCAAUCAAUUGGUUGGGUUUUCGAAUUUAGCUAUUUGGUGCACUUUUUCGCGUGGCAGGUUAGCAUCAACUUUGAUUGUUGUGAAAUGGUGGUCGGAAUGUGACUCUUUUAGAGUGUUAUAGCCGAUUGCAGAUGCAACGAUCGAGGUUGAGGUUUGCGGCAAAUGCCUUUGGGCUACUUACCUUCCUUCUGAUCUGUUCACUUUGAAAUGACAGCUUGCUGAUGUUUUAAAGGGCGUUCAAUCAAUAGGGUAGAGUAUGUUAAAUUUGGCAAGGAUGCUGACGUAAUGGCUUUAAACGAC